GAUGAACGCUAGCGGCAGGCUUAAUACAUGCAAGUCGAGGGGGAUUAUUUUUGUAGCAAUACAGAGAUAUGAGACCGGCAAACGGGUGCGGAACACGUACGCAACCUUCCCAAAACUGGUGAAUAGCCCUCCGAAAGGAGGAUUAAUACACCGUAACAUAAUGAAGUGGCAUCACUUUAUUAUUAUAGCUCCGGCGGUUUUGGAUGGGCGUGCGCCUGAUUAGGUAGUUGGCGGGGUAACGGCCCACCAAGCCUGCGAUCAGUAACUGGUGUGAGAGCACGACCAGUCACACGGGCACUGAGACACGGGCCCGACUCCUACGGGAGGCAGCAGUAAGGAAUAUUGGUCAAUGGACGAAAGUCUGAACCAGCCAUGCCGCGUGAAGGAUGAAGGCCCUCUGGGUUGUAAACUUCUUUUAUCUGGGACGAAAAAAGACGAUUCUUCGUCACUUGACGGUACCAGAGGAAUAAGCACCGGCUAACUCCGUGCCAGCAGCCGCGGUAA
rnacentral:rRNA from 1 species